rnacentral:lncRNA from 1 species
CAAAAAUCUUCAAAACGCAAUUCCUUGGAUCCUAAAAACCCUCCUUAAACCCUUUCUCCCAACUUCACACUCGUGCAGAGGAGGAACAAUGGAUUUCGAGAAGCGGAAGGCAGUGACCCUUGCCGCUAUGACCUCGCCGGAACCCGACAAGUCCCCUAAAGGCAACAUUGACACCCCCAUAAUUCCUCUCUUAACCACCAUUAAUUCUCACCCCUCUUACUUCACCACCAGCUCUUGCUCCGGCCGCAUCUCUGUUCUAGCCCAGCCGAUCGACACAGCCGCCGCCGCCGCCACGACCGUCAAGAAAAAGGCCAAGGGAGGCACCUGGGUCUUCGUAUCCCACGACCCAGUUCCUCCUUUCUCCAUCCUCCCCCUUCUCUUCUCAUCCUCUUCCAAUGAGUCACCACCCCGAGUCGCCACCGAGUCAGACAACAUUCUGUUGCAGAGCCUUGUGUUCAGGUUUGAGCCUUUGAUCAUUGCUGUUGAGUGCAAGGACAUAGAGGCGGCUCAGUCUUUGAUUUCUUUGGCAAUUUCUUGUGGGUUCAGAGAGAGUGGAAUUACAAGUGCGAGUAAAAGAGUCAUCAUUGCAAUACGGUGCUCAAUACGAUUGGAGGUUCCACUGGGGGACACGCUGAAGCUUAUGGUGUCCCCAGAAUAUGUGGAGUACCUUGUUGGGGUUGCUAAUGAGAAAAUGGUGGCUAACAGGAAAAGAACUGAUCUUUUCCUGAAUUCACUGUUAAAGAACGGAUUUUCGAGAGAUGGUAUUUACAUGAAUGGUAAAAUUGAUAGUGAUGGUGGUGAUAUGUGUCGAGGGAAUCAAAAGGCUGCCUCUCAAGGAAAUCCUUUCGGCGAUAGUUGUGUGGAGGAAGAUUUGGAUUCUGAAAAGAAAGAUUUUGAUGACAUCCAUUGUGGUAUUGCAUAUUUUCUUCUAGUUUUUAAAUCAAUUCCUGAGGAUGGACGAUGUAUUCUAUAUGGAUAUAACAUGAUUUGUCACCAGUAAAUAAUCAACAUAUUCUUUUUUAACGCUACUCAGGCUAGACUGAAUUGUGUAGUAGUUACUUUAAAGUGCUAAUUGUUGACUACAUGGCAUUGUACUCUUGGAUGGAAUACGUGGGAUUUAACAUGAUUCACAUGAUAUCAUGUAAUCAGAAACAUGUAUAAUCAUGUAAAAAUUUACACUUAAAUGAAUUGAUGCAAGUGCAAGAAGAGAUUGCUCGCACUGUUAUGUACUAAUAUAUGUUUGAUUGCAGGCAUAUUUUCCCUUAAAUGUGACUGGAAGUUUGAAUCUUAAAUCAUUGACAGGAUCACAGAAAGUCCUUGGCAUCAAUCUGUCCGUUAUAGAGAUAAUUGGUGAACCCGUGGAGAGGCUUUUCCUGUGGGGUCACUCUGGCUGCAUGGUGGACCAACAGAAGAUUCUCAUUUUUGCUGGUUUUGGAGGCAUUGGAAGACAUGCACGUAGAAAUGAUUUAUUGCUUCUUGAUCCAGAAUGUGGAAUGAUAGAAGCAAUUCAUGUUCAGGGAGCUCCAUGUCCACGCUUGGGUCACACAUCUUCAGUAGUAGGAGGGUUCAUGUAUGUGAUUGGAGGGAGGGCUGAUCCGUUGAAUAUUCUGAAUGACGUGUGGGUCUUCAAUAUGGCGAAGAAAGAAUGGAAUCUGUUACAAUGUUCUGGCUGUCAUUUACCUCCUAGGUGAUGUUAUAGCAUACAUACAUUUCUAUAGAUAUUCACUUUAUUUGGUGUGUUCACCUCAUCAUUCAUUCCAGUUUCUAUUCUUCUCCUGGACCGCAGACUAAACUUUUAGAGCUUCAUUUUCUAACUCUAUAUUGACAAGUGUUCAAUUUCUCAUCGGAACAACAAAAGCUUCCUUGCUCCACUAAGGAUGUCCAAAUGUCGUUUCAAUAUCAUUUCACUAAUCAUCACAACUUUUUAGCGAAAAAGAAGAAAAAAGAGCUCAACAUAGCAUGUGAUUGGAAACUAAGUAUUGAGAGUCAAACUCAACACAAUUCUCUAAUAUAAAUCAUAAUUCUUUCUUUGAUCACCAUGUUUUCUUAUAUCUAUGAUAAUAUCAGUUUAAUCAUACACCCAGCUUUCUACUUUUUGUGUAUAUAAUUUAUAUUGAUGUUUUACAGGCACCGACAUGCAGCAGCUGUUGUAGGUACAAGGAUAUAUGUACAUGGGGGAAUUUGUAAAGAUGAAAUAAUAUCAUCACUGUAUGUACUUGAUACAUAUAAGGCUGAGUGGACUGAGAUAGAAAUUCAGGGGAACUUGCCCAGUCCUCGUCAUUCACACUCCAUGGACUCACAUGGGUCUAACUUAUACACAUUUGGUGGAUUCAAUGGGGAGAAAGCACUUGGGGAUCUUUAUAGUUUUGAUGUUCAGACGUGCCUAUGGAGUAAGCAAAAGACAAAUGGAAAAGCACCUAAAGCUAGGUUUUCGCACUCGAUGUUUAUAUAUAAGAACUAUCUUGGCAUUUUUGGGGGAUGUCCUGUAAGUCAGAAUAAUGAAUUAUCCUUACUUGAUCUUCAGUCUUAUACGUGGAAGCAUAUAAUGGUGAAUUCCAUUGAUGGUCUCUUUGUUCGUAGUACAGAUUUAUUUUCCAUUUAAAUGUGAAUACCUAAAAGAGGAAAUUGGAAAAUAUGUCCAUUUUUAAAGAUACAUUUGGAAAAUGAUCAACGGAGGCGGACCCAAGUGGGGUCUCAUAGGGUCACUUGACCCUCCAGCUUUUUCAAAAUUUUUUUUUGGCUUAGUUUUCGGCUCACUACAAAAUAUCAAAGGAAGUUGAAAUAUUACAUUUUCAAUAUCAUUUUGAAGAACUCACGGCCUAAUAUUUCACGUCGUUAAUGGUGUGCGAAAUGGCCAAUCGUAGCAAAUAUUACGACGCGUUAAAGUUGGUCAUGCCAAACUAAUAUUUCGAGAAUUUCGAUAACAAGCUAACUUUAAAAAAAUUUUGACGAUUAUACGCUAACCGUAUCCAUAAAUCUUCUAUAUUCUCGCGAAAAUCAUUUCGAGAACUAUAUUAUAAACAUAUCGAAUGAUCUAAAUGAAUAUCGAAAAUAGUUAAACAUACAUUUAACGUGUAUGCUAAAAAAAGACGUAUAACUCGUCUUUUUUGAAAAAAAUUAAUUAUUUUAUUAAUGUUUAUUAUUUUUGCGCGACAAAUUUCUCAAUAUAAUUUAUAUCAUUUUAUUAGAAUAUUUUAUGUGGUAUGACGUCGAAUUUUUUUUUUUGAAUGUAAAAAUUCUUAAUAAAAUUUUUAUUACUUCAUAGAGGUUAUAAAUUUUCAUACUACUUUUCAUUUUGAUUAUUUUUAUAUCUGGAAAAAAAUUUAUAUAUAAAAAAAUUCAAUCGUUUUUAGGACUUUUUUUAUUAUUGUUAUCUUUUCCUCUCAAUCAAUUAAUUUUUUUUUUCAAAUGACGUCAAAAAUUUUAUUAGGAAACUUAUUAUAUUAUUUAAAAAAAUUAAUUGAUUGAGAGGAAAAAAUAACAAUAAUAAUAAAAAAAUCCUAAAAAUGAUCAUUUUUUUUAUAUAUAAAAAUUUUUCAGAUGAAAAAUAAUCAAGAUGAAAAAGUAGUAUAACAGUUUAUAACCAUAUAAAGUAAUAAAAAAUAUAUUCGUCACUUUUUUUAAAAAUUUGAUUGUGACCCCCUAAUAUAAAAUGUAUGCGUCAGCGUCGGCUCUUGAUGAUCAAUACUUGUAAGUUUUGGGACAACCAACACAUUUUGAAUAAACAGACAAAAAUAUUCUUAAAAAUUAGCCAAUUACUAGCUACAUCUAAAAUCCUUCUACUUUCCCAAAAAUUAUUCAAAUCAUCGACAUCUCCACCAUUGUUCUAGCUCAUCCCACCCACUUUUUCUUUUACACCUUCACCUUCACGUCCACCACCACACUCAAUAUUUGAUUGUUGAGGUAUAAGUUUUUUUGACAACUAAAUGUCGAAAAGCCGGUGGGGUGGUGGUGGUGAAAACUCAACGGAAGAACUAAAAAUCCAAAAAUCGUGGUAAAUAGUCCAUUGAGUUUUUUUUUAAAACUUUGUUCAACAAAAAUUAAUUCUCAUGAGAUAGAGAGAUAAAAAAAAAUUUACAUGUAGACUAUCAAAAAAUACAUCACUAGCAUUUUACAAAUUUGAGAGGUUGUGGUAGUAUAGCGGAGUUGAGAUUUGAGGAGUGGUGGCAUAGGUUUUUGGUGUGAAGGUGGUUGGGGGAGGACAUUUUUUUUUUCCUUUUUGCAGUGGACUAUAAUACAUAGAAGAACAAAAGACUUGGGGGCAACCCUGAGCAAAAGACAAGAUUGUCCCUAUCUAUGUCACUGGUGGUAUAAUUGGUUGUUCUCGUUGGCAGAUCUUUAAAUUUGGUGUUUUAGCCUUUUAGUCAGUUGACUUUUGAAAUUGUGCUCUUGGAUGGUUAUUGUAUGGCUCGAUUUAGAGACUGUGGUGGUGCUUGUGUUUUGAGAUGAUGAUGGUGACUUAUUGAAGAUGAUCUUUGUAGUUUUUUGGUGGUAGUGGUGUGCGAUGGUGGUUGUGUGAGUGGUAAAUGAAUUUUAAAAGAGUAAUUAUGACGAAAUGUUCAUACCUUUUAAUGUUUUUGUCUAAAACGUUUGUACCUUCAUUUUUUGGCAUUUUCACUAUCAUAUUCACCUUUUAUCGCGGAAAAGAUCCUUCCAUCAAUCUAGUAUCAAUAAUUACAAUAAAUGCAUAGGUUUUAAGGGAAUUAUGGUGGGAUUGAGUUUGACACUGAGGGGUCCACGUUGCCAUAGGAUUUUAAGAGUAGCAAUGAUACUUGAGAUGGUGGAUUUUAUGCUUCGGAGUUUGUUGGGUCUAAGAAGGUUAAGAAGGACAAGGGGCUUGGUGGGCUUGAAUUGCUGGAGGCUAGUGAGCCACCAGAAGGAACUGUGGCUAAAGGUGCUGGGGAUAAAAUUGAAGAUAUUUUGGUGACGAAAAUUGAAAUGAAGGUUCUGGAGAUGUAUACCGUGGAAGAGAUUAAUGCGGAGUUUCGAGAAUCCUUGCUUUAUAGAGUUGGGUUAACGAGUGUGGUUUACUUGCAAAUUGUGCGACCAAAAUCUUCUUCAGAUGAUAAAAAGGGAAUUUUCAUUUAAGAUUGAAGGCACAAGUGACGUUAAGAGGUUUGUCCAGCGAAGCUCUUGAGCGGACAACUUUGGAAAUGGUUUGUUUCACAUGAGGACUGCACCUUCAAAGGAAACUACACCAAUUAUCAAAUAUAUAGAUUAUUACCUUGAUAGAUUCCAUUGACUUUGAGGGUGUGACUUAUCAAAACUUUAGUGGGACUUUGCCUUUAAGAGAAUUGAAAUGGCAUGUUGAUGAAAUCAAUUUCAAAAAAUGCCUUCGCAAUCUUUAACUCGGGCAUCCAAAUGCACAAUUUUCCCGAUUAGAUUUUUAACGUGGAUGACCUCGAACUCUCAAUUUUCAGACGUUCAUAUGCUCUUAUGCCAUUACUUUAAGAAUGGCUGCUUAUUUACAGACCUAUCAUUUCUUUUCACUAAACUUGUUUGUAUCCUCAAGCGCAGCCUCUCGCAAACGCUCACUCACUUUCCAAUGCUAGCCGGUCGACUUACCACUGACGAAAAGGGAUACAUUUACAUUACCUGAAAUGACGCAUAAUAUGUCCUUUAGAGAUAACCGUCCAAUCAAAAGCAAAAGAAUGUUAUCACUACGUCUAAGACAUCAAUGGGGUUAAGAAUAUUAGGCGGAGAGGAGAUGAAGGGGCAGAGAAAAAUUGGCUAAAACUAUAUGGCCCUUAGUUUUUUAAAAGAAAAUUUGCCCUUUGUAUUGAGUUAAUGUAGCAACUAACGAUAUGUGGAUAGAAAGACAUUUUUCACAAUAAAAUGUAAUAAUAUUUUGCAUAAAAAUAUUAAAACAUGAAGACAUUUUGUGUUAAUUAACCAACUUUAAAAUGUGGUCUUAUUGCAAGAGUUAAAAUUUUACAAGAGGGUGCCUUAAUCUAUUUCCUUUAAAAUAGGUCGUAUUUGCAAUGUUUUAGAAAAUGAUCACUUUUCAAAAUGCUCAAUAAACAUGGCUACAUUUCCACUUUCUCCUAAAUAAAAAGACAUAUCCCAUUUAAAAACCCUCCAUACAAAUUUGGAAAGAACCCUAAUUUCUUUCAAAAAUCUUCAAAACGCAAUUCCUUGGAUCCUAAAAACCCUCCUUAAACCCUUUCUCCCAACUUCACACUCGUGCAGAGGAGGAACAAUGGAUUUCGAGAAGCGGAAGGCAGUGACCCUUGCCGCUAUGACCUCGCCGGAACCCGACAAGUCCCCUAAAGGCAACAUUGACACCCCCAUAAUUCCUCUCUUAACCACCAUUAAUUCUCACCCCUCUU